rnacentral:rRNA from 1 species
UAGCGGCGAGUGAAGCGGCAAGAGCUCAGAUUUGAAAUCGCCCCUUUUUAUGGGGGGCGAGUUGUAAAUUGCAGGUUGGAGUCUUUGUGGAGGCCGGUGUCGAAGUCCCUUGGAACAGGGCGCCAUUGAGGGUGAGAGCCCCGUGCGAUGCCGGCUGAAGCUUUAAGGCCCUUCUGACGAGUCGAGUUGUUUGGGAAUGCAGCUCUAAGUGGGUGGUAAAUUCCAUCUAAGGCUAAAUAUUGGCGAGAGACCGAUAGCGAACAAGUACUGUGAAGGAAAGAUGAAAAGCACUUUGAAAAGAGAGUGAAACAGCACGUGAAAUUGUUGAAAGGGAAGGGUAUUGGGCUCGACAUGGGAUUUGCGCACCGCUGCUCCUUGUGGGCGGCGCUCUGGGCUUUUCCUGGGCCAGCAUCGGUUUCUGCUGCAGGAGAAGGGGUGCCGGAAUGUGGCUCUUCGGAGUGUUAUAGCCGGUGCCAGAUGCUGCGUGUGGGGACCGAGGACUGCGACAUCUGUCUCGGAUGCUGGCACAACGGCGCAAUACCGCCCGUCUUGAA